UACGUAGGGGGCAAGCGUUGUCCGGAUUCAUUGGGCGUAAAGAGCGUGUAGGCGGCCAGGUAGGUCUGCUGUGAAAACUCGAGGCUCAACCUCGAGACGUCGGCGGAAACCAUCUGGCUAGAGUCCGGAAGAGGAGAGUGGAAUUCCUGGUGUAGCGGUGAAAUGCGCAGAUAUCAGGAAGAACACCCGUGGCGAAGGCGGCUCUCUGGGACGGUACUGACGCUGAGGUGCGAAAGCGUGGGGAGCAAACAGG
rnacentral:rRNA from 1 species